rnacentral:rRNA from 1 species
GGGAUAACACCUGGAAACAGAUGCUAAUACCGGAUAACAACAGAUGAUGCCUAUCAACUGUUUAAAAGAUGGUUCUGCUAUCACUCUUGGAUGGACCUGCGGUGCAUUAGCUAGUUGGUAGGGUAACGGCCUACCAAGGCGAUGAUGCAUAGCCGAGUUGAGAGACUGAUCGGCCACAUUGGGACUGAGACACGGCCCAAACUCCUACGGGAGGCAGCAGCA